AGUUCUGACAGCGCCCUGAAGCCCAUUUGUCAUCUAAAUGGUCCGUCCCCUUCUUAAACAUCAUUUUGGCCCAAGGUCCAUUCAUGGGGCCUGCCGGGUGUUCCUGGGAAGAUGGGCAGAAAAUCCCAAGGCCACCAUUUAGUGCCAAUAAACAGAAGGCCUGGUUUCUUCAAAAGAAACACAAGAAAUUGUUUCCUGGUUUUGCCACAGAGAUUGGGUCACAGAGUGCCACCUAAAUGGUAUUACCAUAUUUGUGUUGUCGCCUCUUGGUUUGAAAUUUAUUCCUGGUAUGACUUGUGUCUCCCCUUGUUCCAUCUCUGACACCCAAGCCCAUGGGAUGACAACCCAGGCUGAGAUGUCCCAUGUGUCACAAAGGAGUCCUUCAGUAUUUCCAGGAAUAGUUGGAACCAGCACUCCAUCCCCUACCUGGACCUGGCACCCUCUCUACUCUUGUCAAUUCUACACUAAUCACAGGAAGAAGGUGGAAUUAGUCCAAGCUGGGUUUUCAGAAAUAACUUGUAGACAUGCAACAGAUGUUUAUAACCCUCAGAAGCGGAAGGAAACUUGGAAACCCUCUCUUUCGGUGACUUUUUUUCUAAUGAUUGUCUCUGCCAUGAAAUUCUAACUUCAAAUGAAAUCUUUGGCAGGAACCCAGGGCUGUUCUGUCAAGGUUCAGCUGCAGGACCAGAGCCCCUUCCACCUAACCCCCACUCCUAUCCUGAUGCUUCCUGAGGCACAUCUGCUGUGGUUUCUCACCAGAGAACAGUCUGCAAAAUCACUGCACCUUGUCCAACUCCAUUUUCCAACUGAGAAGACUUGGCCCAGAGAAGUGCACAGACUUGAGGGAAGUAACACAGCAAUCGGACAGACAGACAUCCCCAGAUAUACCUGCUACGGUCCUGGGAGAAAAUAGAGACCCAUCCCCAAAUACCAUCAUCCUCAUCAUUCUCUGUAGCCCAAUCAAAUGAUGCUCCAGGCCUGAGAUUUUAUCCAAUGAACACUCUGUACAUCUUUAAAAGAGAUAUGUACUUGUCUUAUUCCUCCUUUCCUUUCUUUAAAAAAAAACACAGGCCCCAGAUCCAGUCAUUCUAAAUAGGAAGGAAAAACAUAACCCACUGAGGCAAUGGAUGCUGUUUCUCUCCCUGCUCUGUGACUUUAGUUUGCCUUUAAAGCCCAUUUUCACCAUUUAUUGAUUUUAGUUUUCUACUUGUCUAUGAAUGACAACUUGAAUUAAGACAACGCAGGCUGAAAAGCCGCUAGGCAGUGCUAAAUGGACAAGCUACACUUCGUGGCAGGAUGUCUCAUGACCGUGCCACCUUCUGCCUAGCCCCAUUCUCUGGAGGAGCUGUGGGCAGACCGACCCCAGCCUGGCCGCCUGGCAUGGGGACUGGUUGCGUCAGAUCGGAGCUCUGAGAUAAGGGUGGGCCAGGGCAUGAUCAUCACCACUGCCAGCCUCGAAGCCUCUUUGCUGACCUGGAGGUGAUCUGUGUAUCAAAGGGGGCUGUGUAUUCAACAGCACUUCCAGAAGAGGCCAAAGAUCUGUCUCUACUUCAGCCUCCACUGGGCAGAAAACUAAGCCUAUUUGCUCUAGGCCCUUCAGACUUGCACUUGGAGAAAGAAAACUCACUAAGUCAGCCCUUAUGUAACUCCACUCUCCUCUCUUCCAAACCUCCUUGCUUUGGACAAAUAUUUGACAGAAAAUGCCCUUUUGCAACGCCUUAAAAGUUACAAAAAUGGUGCACCCUAUCCUUUAAUCUGUACUGUAAAUAAAAAAUAUUAACAC
rnacentral:lncRNA from 1 species